rnacentral:rRNA from 1 species
CCUACGGGAGGCAGCAGUGGGGAAUAUUGCUCAAUGGGGGAAACCCUGAUGCAGCGACGCCGCGUGAGUGCAGAAGUACUUCGUUACGUAAAGCUCUAUUUGCAGGGAAGAAAAUGACGGUACCAGAGUAAGCAGCCACGGCUCACUACGUGCCAGCAGCCGCUGUAAUACGUCGGGGGCCAGCGUUAUCCGGGUAUACUGGGUGUUAAGGGGGCGUAGACGGUGCGCCAAGUCAGGAGUGAACUGCCGCAGCGUAACUGCGGAACUGCUGUGGAUACUGGCGAACUAGAGUGCGGGAGGGGUAGGCGGAAUGUCUAGUGUAGCGGUGAAAUGCGUAGAUAUUAGGAGGAACACCGGUGGCGAAGGCGGCUUACUGGACCGUAACUGACGUUGAGGCACGAAAGCGUGGGGAGCAAACAGGAUUAGAUACCCGAGUAGUC